GACACGAAGGCCGAGCUUCAGGUCUGGUCGGCCAUGUGGCGACGCAGCCCGGACAAAGUGGUACCUGACUCCGCGGUAGCAGCGCUGGACCACUGCGACCCUGUAACCUUCCCGACCAUCCACCGCCUGCUCCGGAUCCUAGCGGUUCUGCCGGUGUCCGCUGCGGAGGCCGAGCGGCCCUUCAGUGAGGUCGCCUGGACGCUGACCGAGGUCCGCGCGACGAUGGGUGAGGAGCGCCUGGAGGCGUUGGUGAUGUGCCAGACGCACCGUGACCUUCUCCCAGCCUCGAAGGAAGUUGCGGACUUCUUCGCCAAGUCUGGCGCUCGUUGAGCGAAGCUUUCGCAUCUGCUGUAGGCCCCGGCCGCGGCUCACCGGUGUGCCCGCCCGCCACAGCCGCUCCGCAGCUGCCACUACGCUACAUAGCCACUAGAAUCAUCCUUUGUCCGGCCUCAUCACCCCGUCUCACCGUUUGUCACCCUGAUCGCCAUUUGCAAUAAACCCCAUUUGCCCAGUUGACUCUUGAAAGUAAUAUCUUAUG